rnacentral:rRNA from 1 species
GAUGAACGCUGGCGGCGUGCCUAAUACAUGCAAGUCGAGCGAAUGGAUUGAGAGCUUGCUCUUAUGAAGUUAGCGGCGGACGGGUGAGUAACACGUGGGUAACCUGCCCAUAAGACUGGGAUAACUCCGGGAAACCGGGGCUAAUACCGGAUAACAUUUUGAACCGCAUGGUUCGAAAUUGAAAGGCGGCUUCGGCCGUCACUUAUGGAUGGACCCGCGUCGCAUUAGCUAGUUGGUGAGGUAACGGCUCACCUAGGCAACGAUGCGUAGCCGACCUGAGAGGGUGAUCGGCCACACUGGGACUGAGACACGGCCCAGACUCCUACGGGAGGCAGCAGUAGGGAAUCUUCCGCAAUGGACGAAAGUCUGACGGAGCAACGCCGCGUGAGUGAUGAAGGCUUUCGGGUCGUAAAACUCUGUUGUUAGGGAAGAACAAGUGCUAGUUGAAUAAGCUGGCACCUUGACGGUACCUAACCAGAAAGCCACGGCUAACUACGUGCCAGCAGCCGCCGUAA